AAAAUUUAUUGCUGGUAGGAAUAUAGGGAAAGGGACUGUCUUUUAUAUUGAGGGUAGAAAAAUAAAUUGUUUAGCCUUUUGAGGAAUCAGUAUUUCAACUUCCAUAAAGUUAAAACUAGAUACACCAUUCACUCUAGCAAUUUCACUUCUAGGAGUAUAUCCUAAAAGAAUAAAAACCAUGUAAGGAUAUGGAUAGAAAGAUGUUUAUUGAGACUUUGAAUGUGAGGGCAAAAACUAGAAACCAAAUAGAUACUCAUCAAUUGCUGAAUAAAAUAUGGCACAGUAACAUCAUGAACUAUUACAGAGCCAUUUAAAAAGAAUGGAUUAGAGCUAUACAAGACAAUUAAGACAUAUUUCUCUUAGGGAGUUUGGAAGAGAAAAAGGACAAAUUUUAGAAGGAGUAAAUAAUAUGAUUAUAAUGGGUAAGUAAAACCCAAUUUCAAAACCCAUAUUUAUCUAUUUGAACAUAUAGGCUUGUAUACCAUUAUACAAUUCUGAACAGUUUGCAUUAAGGAAUGUACUGAGUGCCUAUGAAAAAGACAAAAGGGUAGGAGAAGGGAUGAGGAAAAGCCCAGCAUCCAUUCAACUCCAGAACCCUUCAUGCCUAUCCCAAGUUAAUGUAAAUAGCACUCCUGGACUUGUACGUGGCAGUUAUACAGUUGUAUAUGAAAGCUCUGAUAUGCACUGACAGAAGUUCUGUGUAGAGAAAAUUUAAUGAACCUUGUAUAUACAUGCAUUUGAUAAGCAAAGUUGCCUAAGUUUUCCAACAGCCUGCCCUAGUGUAUGGACUACAUGUUUGUGUUCCCCCUAACUCCCAAAUUCAUACGGUGAAACCAUUACCCACAAUAGUAUUUGGAGAUGGGGACUUUUGAAGGUAAUUAUGAUUAAAUGAGGUAAUAAUGGUGGGGUACUCCGGAUGGGAUUAGUGCCCUUAUAAGGAGAGACAUCAAAGAACUUGAUCAUUCUUUCUUCACCACGCGAGGACAUAGCAGAGCAGACCAUCUGCAAGCCAGGAAGAGAGCUCUCAACAAAACCCAACCAAGCUGAUAUCCUGAUCCCAGAUUUCCAACCUUUGAAACUGUGAGAAAAAAAAAUAAAUAAUUCUAUUGUUUAAUCCAUCCAGUCUAUGGUAUUUUUGUUAUGGUAGCUUAAGCACACUGAUGCACAUAGACUAGAGAAGGUAGAAGGUGGAAAUGAACACACCACAUUUUCUUUCCAAUUCCUGCUUUAAGAUAUACUUAACAUUAGUCAUAAUGCAUUGUGGAAAAAUACUUCAGAAUUUUAACACUUCCAUCAAAGAGCUCAUAAAGAGUCCAGGAGGAGCAACACGAAGACAAAAAUUAACUGUGAUAUAAGGAUAUCAAAAAUGCACCAACAGUUGCAGUAAAUAAAAGAUCUUCCACCAUGUGCAAUCCACGGGGAGAACACCAUUGGAGACCGAGGGAGCAGCCUGACCUUUCCCAGCAUAUUCACUCUGUGUAGGAAGGAAGGAUUUCAUAGGCGUAGUUUCAGUAUCAACACAAAACUCCUCAUCUUGAAAUAUCUGGCCCUCUCAAGGUGCCACACGGAGACUAUUCCAGAAAUCUACAGGAUGUCAGGAAACAUAUAUUAUUGAGAAGGACUAUUGAAGAAUGAGAAAUCCUCUACUGAAGACACAGGAUCAAUAGGAAUUAUGUACUGAGAACCAAGGAAAAUAGACUCUUGGACUGAGAGAUUGUGGCUGAUACCAAAAAGUUAAAAUAAGACCCCAAGGAUGGGCAAAUAUAGAUAUGUUCAGUCUGUUUAGAGUAGACCACACAAUCAUGCCUGUGUACAUCAGUCAGUCUACUAGACGAAGGGAAAUUAAGUGUUCAGAUUCCAUUUUUUCUGCUUCUUUUCCCACACUGGAUGAGCCAAACUUUUCCCAAAGUAUGUACAACCUGGAUUAAAUGUCGCUUUUUCUUCCAUAACUGAUGGUUCAAAUGGAAAGGCCAUCGUCAAUCAUUGAACUCUAACCAGUCUGGUUCUGAGACAUAUUAAGUCCUUUGACCCCUGGGAGUGACCACACAUGCAGGAAUCACUGCCUCUGGAAGAGUUAGCAAUGCAGAGAUGGGGUGUUAAGAAUAUCCCUAAUUGCACUGACCAAAACCAGGUUAUCAGAGGAACAAUGGCAACUUAGAGUUCUCCAAAUUGGAGAACAUGUUUCUGUUUUUCAGACUUUUUCUAAUAUGACAAAAUCAUAAUGCCUAGAAAGCCUAACAUAGAAAAUAAAAUAUGCUAUAGUUUAUUUAGCAUGACUGACCAUAUCAAUGAUAUUUCCAUGCCUUGUAAAAUCUGGCAGAAUCGUUCAUAUGUGAAAGUCUUUAUAGGUAAUGCCUAUGCCUGUACAAUUGCACUUUCUGUGUAAAGUUAAUGGAGCUCAGAUCUAUUGAACCCAUAAGGAAAAUAAUAAAUGUAAACUGGCAACCAUGUACCAAAUAACAUGCUUGCUGUCUUACAUAAAAUUAAUAUAUGCUCUAAAGUAACAGCAAAAUUACAUAUACCUUAGGAUGCUAGGAUAUUUUAAUUAUAUUAUCUGUUAAAGAGAUUGAGAUGAGUACACUUAUUGGCAAGUUGUAUUUAUAUUCUAAUAAUGUUUUCUAAAACUAAAGUUGUAUAAAUAAGAAAAAGGAAAUUUGAUGAGAGAAACUAUAUAUUUAGUGCAUGUAUUAUAAGAAUAUAAAAUAUACAUUAGUUUUCCAAGCAGGAUGUGAUUUAAUCACCUUUUUAAAAAUCACCUUUUGUCUUCCUAUAAAUUGAAUGUCCUCUCCUGACAUUUUAAUACACUUAUAUCUCCAGCCUCUUUGAAUGUUCUGCAUUCGUUUCUAGGUCAGGUGUUCCCAUCUUCAAAGCAUUUAUUCUGUCAUCAUUAAAUGUGGAAUUAAAAGAGGUUUUGGUUACUUCAAUAAUAUUCAAUCUGAUCAUUUACAGUGAAAUACAGCUUAAAACUUAUAAGCAAGUCAGUAAAUUAAAAGAAAUGACAAGACAAAGUUAAGGUGAUUAACAUAUGUGCUUUAAUUUUCCAGAAAUCAACAAAAUCAAUAAAUAAUUUUGGCAAGGACAUAAAUAGCCUGAAUCAUUUAGGUGUGAUCUAAAAUUAUAGAAAUAAUGUGAAUAUUAUUUUUUCUUAGGAAAAAAAAUUAACUGGUAUUUUCCUGAAUGAGCUAUGGUAAGGAAAAGUUGGUAUUUCUCAUUGAUUGAGCAAAGAACACUUUAGAAGGAGUGUGCACGUUUUUCAGUUUGAUUUUUGUGGCAACCUCUUAAAAUGGCCUGGUGAAAUUUAUGAGAGCCUUUUAAUGUUAUCUCGUUAGAAAAGGCCUUUCUGAGAAGUAACCAAAGAAAAAGUUCUCUAUUUAAAGGAGACAGAUUCUGUCAUGCUUUACUUCAUGCAUGUUUUCCAUGCUAAAAGAUAUAUGCACUUUAAAUGCUGGUAUUUCAAAUGAAAGUUACAUCAGAUAUAAAAGAAAUCCCCCAAGAAGCAUAAGAAAUGUGGGGCAGUAACUGUCAAGCAUUGUGAAGUAGGAGACUCCCAUAAACUAAGCAUAGGAUCCAAGAGGUUUAGUUCAGAAAGUGUCCAUUCUGCUCUCCUUUUUCUCCCUCAUUUUACAGUCAGACUUUUUCCCUCCCAAAGGAAAAAUACAAUGAUUGAAUUUUAAUUUUUAAUUUCUUAGAGAUGAUUCUCAUUAGUUACUGGACUUGAUGCUGUGAUUUCAAACGUGAGGAUCAGGGUACAUGUCCUGAAAAGAUUACAGACUAAUAAAAGAACCUGAGACUCAGGAUUAAUUACAAGUCACUGUCACUGAUGGCAAGUCAAAUAAAAUUUCCAAUAUACAGUUUUACCUACAGAUAUUGUAAAUUUGUCUGAUUCAAUCUAGGAUUAUACCAAAAAGAAUGAUUAAAAUACCACAGAAUAAGAGAAGGAGAAGUAAAAUAAAACUAAACCAUUGUACGCCCCCAAACUGAUGUGAAUAUGUAGUGUAGUAGAAUGACAGAUAAAACUAUGAAUCUUAGAAUUUGGAAGGAUAGAAAUUUAAAUAUGUUUUAUAAGUUUAUUAGAAUAUUUAAAUAAUAAGAUUCUGGUAGUUUAAAAGAUUAAUCUAGAAAUUCUAGGGUCUUCCUUCAAUACAUACACAUAUAAAUAAGUGUGUGUGCACUCAUUUGAACUUUUUUUUUUCCUUUAAAUCCCUGUGCUAUAUCCAUGUAGAGAUGCCAGUUCAGUGUUGCCUAAGCAGAAUAAAGAUAGUAAUAAACCAGUACCCCUAGAACUUGCUAAUGAUUAUUAAAUAUAAAUUUACGAAUUUUUUUUAAAAAAUGGAUUUUGAUACUCUAGUUUCUCUUCAGAUUGCAUAAAUCUUUUGCUUUUAAAAAUGGAUUUCGGGGGGUGCAUGGGUGGCUCAGUGGGUUGAGUGUCUGCCUUAGGCUCAGGUCAUGAUCUCAGGGUCCUGGGUUCGAGCCCCGCAUCAGCCUCUCUGCUUAGAAGCGAGACUGCUUCCCCACCGCACCCCUUUCUGCCUGCCUCUCUGCCUGCUUGUGAUCUCGCUCUCUC